UGGUAACCGUAGCAACUGUAACCUGCAAUUCCUGCACAGCCAAAGUCAGAUUUAUUGUGGCAGGGGCAAACAGGCCAAGAGUAAAAUGAAGCUGGAAACUAUGGCACCUGACACCUCUAGUGGCCCACACUUUAAUCAGAGCUGGCAGAAAUUAAUUCAAGAGGAAUUUUUUACACGGUUCCACUGUCGUACUCUGCCUUUAUGCUUGACUACAAGAAUCUUAAUGAGACUCUCUUGACAUCCCAAAACAAGGGGAAAAAUGUCCAUGAAGCUCGCAACAGGAACGUUAAAAUGCAAGAUACCGGAGAAGAGUCCCAUGAGAUGAACUUGGAAUUUUUGCCACAAAGACUAGCAUCGUGAGAUUCUCUUUACAUAUAAGAGAAAUCUGGAUACUUUAUGUCAGUAAGAAGAGGAAGUUGGUUGCAAGUCCUCAAAGGAUCAGUUUUCUGCCUUUAUUUAUUCGUGUUGUGAAAAUAGUGAUUCUACAUUUCUAUGUGUAAUGUCCUUAGAAAUCUGAGGUCCUUUCUACCCUCUUAUCCCCCAUCUCACAUCCGCUCUUAAAGACACAAAUUUCACUAAAAGUUACACAAUGGACCACAGAAAUCAGUACAAGAGGACCUUAGGGUUUUGUUUUGUUUUUUAUGCUCCUGUCUUCAGAAAAGCUUUAAAAUCUAUGAACAUUUAGUGAUUACGACUAAGCAUGUCAUCUUAAAAACAAAACUCCCAAGACUCGAAGGAGACACUUACAGAACUCUGAGGUGCCUGAGACCAGCAAAAUCUGUCUUCGUGAUCCUUGUGAUGUUAUUUCCAUUGAGAUCCCUAAGAGACAACCACAAAUUAAAGUUCCUUUUUAUUUCUAUUAUAUUUGGUUAAACAAAGUAAAACUUAAAGCAUGUUGGAGCUUUAGAAAAAAAAAACUUUAAUUCAAUUAGUGUGGCUUAAAAAGUAAGCCAGAGAGCAAAGGGAACAACAAGCCUUUGAAAUAAUAGUUUAUAAAGGUCUUAUGUUUACAAAAUUCUUGCUGACAUAUGACAAGAAAAUGAAAUAAUGAUGUCAUCACUAGCCCUGGCUUUUGUUGUGUUUUUGGCCUGUUGUGUGUGAGUGCUUUCGAUUUUGGUUUCCAAAGAAAUAUGGGUAUUUAUUUACUGAGUUACUCUGCAAUGUUUGCCUUUAUUUUUAGCAUUGCCCCCAAGAAUUUUCUUUCCGGAAGUUUGAUGAAAAAAUUUCUCAUAGUAUUCGGAGAGAAAAUUUUAAAGAUAGAACACAUUGUGGCCAAAAUUCCGGAGGCAAAGAAAAGUGUGUGUCAGGGAGAGUUCCAGCACCUCAAAGAUCUCCCCACUUUUUUUAGGUCCCUGGGGAAGCUGAACUCUUUUAUUGCAGCUCUUGGCUCCCCCACCCCCACCCCUGUACCCCUGCCCCAGCUCUGACUGUGACUAUAGUUUAAACUUCCAGUGAGAACAAUAAUGGAAGUAGGAUUUGGCCUU